UACGUAGGGGGCAAGCGUUGUCCGGAUUUAUUGGGCGUAAAGAGCGUGUAGGCGGCCAGGCAGGUCAGCUGUGAAAACUCGAGGCUCAACCUCGAGACGUCGGUUGAAACCGUAUGGCUAGAGUCCGGAAGAGGAGAGUGGAAUUCCCGGUGUAGCGGUGAAAUGCGCAGAUAUCGGGAAGAACACCGAUGGCGAAGGCAGCUCUCUGGGACGGUACUGACGCUGAGACGCGAAAGCGUGGGGAGCGAACAGG
rnacentral:rRNA from 1 species